AGUGAACGCUGGCGGUAGGCCUAACACAUGCAAGUCGAACGGCAGCACAGUAAGAGCUUGCUCUUACGGGUGGCGAGUGGCGGACGGGUGAGGAAUACAUCGGAAUCUACUUUUUCGUGGGCGAUAACGUAGGGAAACUUACGCUAAUACCGCAUACGACCUACGGGUGAAAGCAGGGGAUCUUCGGACCUUGCGCGAUUGAAUGAGCCGAUGUCGGAUUAGCUAGUUGGCGGGGUAAAGGCCCACCAAGGCGACGAUCCGUAGCUGGUCUGAGAGGAUGAUCAGCCAAACUGGAACUGAGAAAGGGGCCAGACCCCUACGGGAGGCAGCAGUGGGGAAUAUUGGACAAGGGGGGCAAGCCUGAUCCAGCCAUACCGGGUGGGUGAAGAAGGCCUUCGGGUUGUAAAGCCCUUUUGUUGGGAAAAAAAAGCAGCAGGUUAAUACCCCGCUGUUCUGACGGUACCCAAAGAAUAAGCACCGGCUAACUUCGU
rnacentral:rRNA from 1 species